ACGGAGAUGGUGACCAGGCGGAGAGGAACAGUGGAGAUGGUAGUACAAUGAGCUUACGAACAGCUCUGGCCCAGGUGGAGGAAGAGACAAAUCUGGCGCUCAGAGGAAAAGCAGCAGUGAGUUGGGGCCAGAAUCACUGAUCCACUGAGACAGGCCGUGGAGACAGAGGCACACAUGGAGCCUGCAGGAGGAAGAGCAGGAGGAGUCAGACACAGGGCAAGGUCGCCCAAGGCAAAGCUUGUAGACACUGAGCACCUACAGCCUUUCUUCUCGUGGCAAC
rnacentral:lncRNA from 1 species